GAUGAAGAACGUAGCGAAAUGCGAUAAGUAAUGUGAAUUGCAGAAUUCAGUGAAUCAUCGAAUCUUUGAACGCACAUUGCGCCCGCCAGUAUUCUGGCGGGCAUGCCUGUUCGAGCGUCAUUUCAACCCUCAAGACCCCUUCGGGGGACUUGGUGUUGGGGACCGGCAUAGGGGCCUUGCGCCCCUCGCCGCCCCCGAAAUGAAUUGGCGGCCUCGUCGCGGCCUCCCCUGCGUAGUAGCACAACCUCGCAACGGGAACGUGACGGCGGCCACUGCCGUAAAACAACCCAAUUUUAUUAGAGUUGACCUCGAAUCAGGUAGGAAUACCCGCUGAACUUAAGCAUAUCAAUAACGGAGGA
rnacentral:misc_RNA from 1 species